rnacentral:rRNA from 1 species
CUUACACAUGCAAGUCGAACGGGAACCUCUGGAUUCGUCUGGAGGGGAGAGUGGCGAACGGGUGAGUAACACGUAGGUGACCUGCCUCGAAGACGAGGAUAACCACUGGAAACGGUGGCUAAUACUCGAUGGUCUCGAUAAUUCGGUUUAUCGAGUAAAGGCUCUGGCGCUUUGAGAGGGACCUGCGGCCCAUCAGCUAGUUGGUAGGGUAACGGCCUACCAAGGCGAAGACGGGUAGGGGGCGUGAGAGCGUGACCCCCCACACUGGCACUGGGACACGGGCCAGACUCCUACGGGAGGCAGCAGUGAGGAAUAUUGCGCAAUGAGCGAAAGCUAGACGCAGCAACGCCGCGUGGGUGAUGAAGGCCUUCGGGUCGUAAAACCCUUUUCUGGGGGAAGAGUAAGGACGGUACCCCAGGAAUAAGCCUCGGCUAACUAUGUGCCAGCAGCCGCGGUAAUACAUAGGAGGCAAGCGUUAUCCGGAUUUACUGGGCGUAAAGAGCGUUGAGGCGGCUUCGUAAGUUGGACGUGAAAGCUCCCGGCUUAACUGGGAGAGGCCGUUCAAUACUGCGGGGCUUGAGGGCAGCAGAGGGGGGUGGAAUUUCCGGUGUAGUGGUGAAAUGCGUAGAUAUCGGAAGGAACACCAGUGGCGAAGGCGGGCCCCUGGGCUGCUCCUGACGCUGAAGGCGAAAGCUAGGGGAGCGAACGGGAUUAGAAACCCCGGUAGUCCUAGCCGUAAACGAUGGAUACUAGGUGUAGGAGGUUAAAAUUCCUUCUGUGCCGGAGCUAACGCGUUAAGUAUCCCGCCUGGGGAGUACGGUCGCAAGGCUAAAACUCAAAGGAAUUGACGGGGGCCCGCACAAGCAGCGGAGCGUGUGGUUUAAUUCGAUGCAACACGAAGAACCUUACCAGGGCUUGACAUGUAGGUAGUAGUGAAGCGAAAGCGGAACGAUCCUUCGGGAAGCCUACACAGGUGCUGCAUGGCUGUCGUCAGCUCGUGCCGUGAGGUGUUAGGUUAAGUCCUGUAACGAGCGCAACCCCCGCCGUUAGUUACAAGUGUCUAACGGGACUGCCCGGCAAAACUGGGAGGAAGGUGGGGAUGACGUCAAGUCAGCA